rnacentral:rRNA from 1 species
UACGGGGGGGGCAAGCGUUGUUCGGAAUUACUGGGCGUAAAGGGCUCGUAGGCGGCCAACUAAGUCAGACGUGAAAUCCCUCGGCUUAACCGGGGAACUGCGUCUGAUACUGGAUGGCUUGAAUCCGGGAGAGGGAUGCGGAAUUCCCGGUGUAGCGGUGAAAUGCGCAGAUAGUCGGGAGGAACACCGGUGGCGAAGGCGGUUCUCUGGGCCUGUUCUGACGCUGAGGAGCGAAAGCGUGGGGAGCAAACAGG